rnacentral:rRNA from 1 species
GAUGAACGCUGGCGGCGUGCCUAAUACAUGCAAGUCGAACGCUGAAGGAGGAGCUUGCUCUUCUGGAUGAGUUGCGAACGGGUGAGUAACGCGUAGGUAACCUGCCUGGUAGCGGGGGAUAACUAUUGGAAACGAUAGCUAAUACCGCAUGACAACAGUUAUUGCAUGAUAACUGUUUAAAAGGGGCAACUGCUCCACUACCAGAUGGACCUGCGUUGUAUUAGCUAGUUGGUGAGGUAACGGCUCACCAAGGCGACGAUACAUAGCCGACCUGAGAGGGUGAUCGGCCACACUGGGACUGAGACACGGCCCAGACUCCUACGGGAGGCAGCAGUAGGGAAUCUUCGGCAAUGGACGGAAGUCUGAGCGAGCAACGCCGCGUGAGUGAAGAAGGUUUUCGGAUCGUAAAGCUCUGUUGUAAGAGAAGAACGAGUGUGAGAGUGGAAAGUUCACACUGUGACGGUAUCUUACCAGAAAGGGACGGCUAACUACGUG